AAAAGCUGCUGAAACUGGAGAAAGAAACUUUCCGGGCAGCUCUAAGAGUGGUAUCGACUGCUUUGUCUGAGAGGACACACGGUGUUUGUGGCAGCUAUCGCUGACUUCCAGCUAUACAAAUAUAAAACAUCACAAAAGCAUUUUUCUUCUCGGUUUCGUGUGAGUAUAUAUUCAUUGAUUUCAGUGCAAUUAUAACUGAUCAUUUGCCUGCCACGAGAGUUAGAUCAGUGCUGGCCAUUAAAGGCUGCUCUGAACAGACUUACGCUGGGUAAAAUGGAUAGGAGGAGAUCAGCUAUUCUCUGCUCUGUGACAGCAUACAACUGCAGACAUCAGGGAAAUCAUUAAGGCAGCAUUACGUCUUCAAAAGCCAAACAAACAAAAAAAAAAUCCAUCCUUCACCUUCCUCUAAACCUUAACAGACUGCUAUUCACUGCCUUCCCACGAUGUACUCUGUGGGGCUUUUUUUCCCUGGUUUUCCACUGUAGAACCAGCGGGUUACCCCGCCAUACAGCAAUCACAGCCACACACUUUGCUUUCACUGUUGAGGUCUGAGGGGCUUCCAAGAGAGAGCUGAGUCCACCAGCGUUGAGCUGGCAUAGCUGAGGCAUUGGUGCACAUUCACAACAGCACUCCAAAGGCUGCCUGUGGAAACGAUUACACCGGUGGGAGGCACUUAUCCCAUGCCCAACGCGCAUAAGUCACCCACCUGCUCUGACCACAGCACACGGGUGCCCAAUUUGGUGCAUUAAGCAUUAACUUUGAACCGACAGGGGAGCCUUGGCGCACCAACAGUAGGGUAAAACCCAAACACAUGUCAGCAGCGUAUUGCUUGGAGGAGCCAUAGGAAGACAAGCUGGCAGCAGACAUGGCACUGCCUUUUGUCUCACGCUCACUUACUCUUGGGCAGCCAGACGCCGCCACAACCCAACUACCCGGCACCCACUGCUCUCCAGCUGCCAUCGCUCCAGCAGCAGAUAGGUGCCCAGCACGCUCACCGCCGGUGGGUACGUGAGAGAGGCUACGCCGCACGGGGAUAAAAGUUAAAGAAACAGCUCUGCGGUCACGGCAGGGUUAAAAUACAGCCUCCAAGCCUUUAUCCCCUCUCUGCUGUACGACUGCUCCGGUACACCAACGGGAACGGGAAGAGCAGCGUUUAGAAGUGAACAGAAAGUUACCAAACUUCCGACGCGAAGCUGUAUUUAAAACCCAGAAAUACGGAGUUUGGGGCACCGCUUCAACACUUCUCCAGCUCUCCUUUCCACACCUCCGGGGCCACCGGCGCGCUCCGCGGUUCAUCGCGCGGCACGUCCCCCCUCCGGCGCUUUAAAUCUAACCUAAACGCCCCCCGCGCUGGGGAACGGAGGCAGCAGGUUCAGGAUCAGUUCAGAGUGCUGGAAGAAGUCUAGUGUUAUCAUGCAUCCUGCGACCAAGACAAUUACACCUGCAGGCAUUUCACCACUGAGGCAGACUAUGCCUAGGAGUCUGAAGAGGAAGUAUUUCCACUCCCAGACCUUUUGUGCUCUUGGCAAGUUCAUGUCAGUGCCCUGAAAGUGCAGCAGCAGCUCCAGCGCUGGUCUGUGCCCAUUCCUGCUCAGGAGUGCUGCAUUCUACAAAACAGUAGUUUUUCACAAGCCAUGAAAUGGGACCACUUGGUGCCUCAGGCCACCUCAGGCCUCAGUUUGCUGUUUUGUAAGGGAGGAAUCAGGUGAAAGACUCAUCAUGGUUUGUUUCCCACUCCCUGGUGUUCAUCCUGGAGCAUCCGCUGAAGGAGAUACAGACCUUGUGCUAAGUCCAACUGGCUGUCCCUGUCCUCACCAAAGUGAACGGGAUAGCUUUCUGAAAUGUGAAAUGUGUAUGAGUAGGAAGACCUCAUCGCUGAGCCAGGAUCACUGAGUAGUGGCAAAGCUGAAUAAUUAAAGUUCACUUUGGGCAUUGUUGCAAAUAAAACAGAUGUACCUUUGCACUGAAAAUCCACAAUGUUCUCAUCAUUAAAGUAGACUUCAUGGAAAGUGUUUUGCAUUAUUUGUGUCACUUCAGAGGAGUGCUCAAAUUACUGAACCACAAAUAUUCAAUAUCCAGCUUGUGUUAUGAUUGUACACGACAAAACCAAUUUGAGGUGCUGAGAAGCAGCACUGCCUCUUCGCAGCACAUCAACGUGCAGUGCUUCCCAUCCAAUCGGGUUUCCUUGCUGCAGAGCAGGCUCCAUGCAGCCAGGAACAAGUGUUUGUCUGAGUGAGCAGGAGGGGUCCUCUAAUGAUCCGCUUUUUCAGAGUCAUGGUAAUAUCAAGAAAAAAUGUGAAAUCUCUAAGUUUGUCUCUCCUGAGUUUCCAUCAGAACAGUGUUUGUUCUUAAGCAGUUACCUUGGUGCGUCCGGAUGGAAGUAACUGCAGAAAUAGAAGGCUGUAAAAACUCGGACGAAUGAAUGAUAUCUUUCUGUACAAGGACUAAAGCUACGGGGAGGAUUUCUAAAG
ensembl:lncRNA